rnacentral:lncRNA from 1 species
UCGCCUUUUCGAGCCUUGUCUUGAUCUCUUGCAGCAGGGUUCUGUUGGUCACUUUAGCUUCACCGUUCGCUUGGGGAUGGGCUACUGAUGUGAAGUUGUGGGAGAUGUUCAGACCUUCACAGAAUUCGGCCUGUAAUAUCUUUGGAGGAGCAACUUGUGAGAUAAAGAUCUAGCCCCCAUAUGGCUUCUGCAGAUUCCUUCAUGCACCUCCCACAAGGUGUAGUCAGCUUCUGAAGGCCGG